GCUGGAAGUAAAAAUAAAAAGAUGGGUUGGAAAGGUGAUAAGUAAGGAAUCAGGAGAGAAAAAGAAUGAAGUAGUGAAAAACUGGUUGAUGAAUCAAGAAAAUGCUUUGGAUUUGCUUUUAGUAAAUGAGGGUGGGGAUUUAGGGGGUAUAGAGGAGACAACAUUGGCCACGUGGUGAUAAUAGUUGAAGUUGGAAGAUGGGUACUUAAAUAGUUAUCUCAGUCUUUACAGGCAGUAUGGAAUGUCCAUAAUAAAAAGUAAAAGCAAAAGUAAAGAAACUUAAGAGUAGGGUGACUCUAUAUAUCAAAUUGUCCAAGAUAAUAUUAGUUUAUGCCUGUUGCCCUUGCAAUAUCUAUUGAUAGUGUCUCCUUUGACUAUCAAAACUGGAGACAUCAAAAAUAAUCACAAUUCUGUGUCAAGUUGCAUCAGUCUUAUGAUAUACUUUAGUUUCUUUAUCUCAAAGUUAUUUACUAUUCCUCAUUGUAUUCAUCUUUACUCAUAACUUCAUUAGACUGAAAGAUUCUUGACUGCAGGGUUUAUGAUUUUCGUUCAUUUUAGUAUCCUCUGUAAUGCCUCAUAUAGCUCUAUGUACAAUGAAAAAUGGAAAAACGGAGGAGGGAUUGCAAAAUGUCUUGGAUUAUAAGUGAAUGCUACUAAAAUGUGUUCAUAUUGUAGUAUAAUUUUUAGAAAAGAAAAUUCAUGAAACACUGACAUCAUUUAAGGGUAUGGAGAGAAUAAUGUUGUUCUCUCCAGUUAGCUACAGGAGAGUCCCAAAGACAAAACGAAAUGCUUUCAGAAGAGAAAAUGAGAAUCUAUGCAGUUUAAAGGUCUUCCGAAAAGGAACUCUUUUCUUAUUAGGGCAAAAACCAUUGUAGAGUCUAGUAUUUUAGGAUCGCCAGGGAAGAGUCUGAGUGUUUGCUCAAAUAUAUUUACCAACAGUUUUUGAAAGUGGGGAAUUUCUGCACCUGUCAUACAGUCUGGCUGGCAACACUUAUCCAUUUCUUUUUCUAUUUAUUAAACAAGUCUUUAUGUGUUUGGAGCAUACAAAGUGCAGGACAUUGUGCUAGAUAUUAGAGAAAGAAAAUCAAAAUACAGAGCAUUAAAUAAAUUAUCAAUUUAGUGCAGAAACUGUGGCAGGAGCAAGAAUAAGCUUUAGGAGGUCAGUAAUAUUGUAUUCAAUAUUUUAUGUAUUUCAUGACUUUUUUUGCUGAGGAGAGUAUCCAUAUAUUUCAUCAUAGUCUCAAAUGACUGUCAAAAGUGAGGCUAGUAAGCACUGAGCAUGUGUAGAAACAAACAAAAAACAGAUAAUUAUAAUAUAAUAUGAUCAAAACCAGACAAAGUUUAUGCUUCAGGGAUCCUCACUGUACAGACCUCUAUAAAGACCCUGUAAGGGGCUCAGCAAUGGACUUUAUGAAAGUCAUAUAAUUAUGAGUAAUCAAAAUUAGUCACUAUACAAGAAAAAUCUCAAACACCCUGAAAUAUUACAUCGCAUACAUAAAAGACUUAAUAGAGGUUUUCUAAAAUUUGACAAUAGUAAAUUUAAUUAUUUAUCUCAUUACCAAUAACAAGCUGUGAAGCUGAAUUUUCUUUUCUAAACUAUUAAUAAUACAAAAUGAAUUUUUAUUAAACAUACUAGGGAAAGGCAAAUGCCUUUCAGUUCUUGCCGUAGAAAUUAUAACAAAAUAAUUCUCUUAAGGGAGGUAAUUAAAUAAGCAAUUUAAAAACUAUAGGGAAAAGGUAUCAUAAAAGUGAGUUAGGAAGUUGAUUAAUGUAAUACUGAGGGGAUUAAAUUUUGUGAUGUUUAUGGUGUUUUCAACCUUUUAAUAUUUAUAAUUUGUUGCAGCUUCUUUCUUAUGCUAAAUAAAUCCUCAUUUUCAUACUUAUUUUCUGCAAUUGUAACUUGGUAUUAUUUUUCUUAAAGUGGGCCCCUCAUCUUGUACGUGCAUCAGGCCCAAAAACUUAAUUUCACCUCUGACUGUGAUCAACAUAUUGAUGAAGACUGGCUAUGUGGAUGCUGGAAGAUGGGGAAAACUUGUUUCAAGCUGAACAUUAUCCUUGCCAUUAACUUGCUUAAAGAGGCUGGAUUCAUCUGGGCAGUUUUCACUGCUGCAAGUUAGGCACCUUAUUCCACAAGGUGCAAGUAGCAUGGAAGAGAAAAGCAAAGUUCAUAGGCAAAACUUCCAAGAACAAAGAUCUCUGAAUUGGGAUGAAAUUCUAACUGCCAGAUUUGCUCUCUAUAUCUCUCUUGAUAUGUUUUCUACUUACUAUGGAGUGACAGUUGUUGUGGAUGGGAGGAUUGAAAAUGGGAAGAACUAAUCAAAGAUAUAAUGUUGUGGAAAGGACUGAUAAGCUACACCAACCUGUGUCAUAUUAUUCUUUUUCUUGGAGCUCAGCAUGAGAGCAGGCAAUAACAGGAGAAUAACUUUAAAAAAAUCUUUAAAACCAGACUCAUUGUCUUCAUUCCUAGGACUUACAGAGACCAAAGCUCCUGAAGUACCAUCAUUCUACCAUGGAUACUGUGAAGUGGUACCACCGUAAAUCCAUGUCCUCUAAUGUCAGCGGACUAUCAGACCCAGUCAGAGAUGGGUGGAGGUGAUCCGUACAUUCCCUACAAAUUUUGGUGCCCAACGUGGGGCAUCCUUCACUGGCUGGAACACUGCUUGCUCGAAACUGCUGCACCUGAAAUCCUGGCCCUCUGACAAAAGGCCAGCAAAGGUAAGAAUUCUUAAUACUGUCAGUCUGCUGGAUCUCUGCCUGUGGAGAAUGGUCAAGGUGAGAGUGGUAAGACUCUUUUCUUCCUCUUUCCCUCUCUAAAUUUAGACUGGCAGGAGAAAAUAUUUAUGUGAACUAGUUUUGGGGGCAAAGUGACUUUGGUGUUUGUGAGUAGUCUUGUUUUCUAUUUGAUCUUUUCCCCCCAGAGUUAAUCUUUGCUUUCCUUUUGUCUUUUGGGGUAGUUUGUUAUAAGGGGGAAAAUCAUAUGAAGAUUCUCAUUUCAUCUUGUUUUAUGUCUUGAGAGCUUGGCUUUGUAACCAAGUGAGAAGUUCUCUCUCUCUGGUCUCUGCCACUUGGGGAACAUGAUUGUCAAGUCAUGUCUGGCAGCCAGCCAAAAGGCUGGGAACUUGAGAUGCAAAGUGACAAGCAGGACUCUCCUCGUCUGACUGUGCCAGCUCCCAGGGGUGUUUUCUCUUAAGAAGAAGCUCUAAUUUAUAAGCAGCUUUUGUAAUCUCAACCUUUGUUGCUUAGUGCAACAUGGAGGUCACACAUAAUGACCUCCAUUGUAUGUCCAUAUAUAUGUAAUUGUAUAU
rnacentral:lncRNA from 1 species